rnacentral:lncRNA from 1 species
AAGACAGUACCAAUUUGGCAGAAAGAUUGCACCUUCUUGUGUCCUUAAGUAAAUUCACUAACAAGCAGCAAUGUGCACAAAUGAAGAAAAUAAACUGAAUCAAUAUAUUUGGGGAUAUUUUUGAAAGUAAAUAUUGUUAAUUUGAUAAGAUGAUUCACAAAAUCAAAAAAAUGUCUUGUCAGGUCAUUGUGAGACAACUUCAAAAAAAAUUGGCUGAUCUUAAUAAACAGUGUGAGGCUUCACUAAAGGUUACAUCACGUUCUCACUCUCUGAGGCAUCAAUAGAGGCUACAUCACAUUAUCACAUUAAUCUCAAAGAUUAAACAGUAAAGUUUAUUGUGAACAUUUGCUUCUUUUUCCAUUUUAAAGUUAA